rnacentral:rRNA from 1 species
CACGUAGGCACCAAGCGUUGUCCGGAUUUAUUGGGCGUAAAGAGCUCGUAGGCGGUUCGGUAAGUCGGGUGUGAAAACUCUGGGCUCAACCCCAGAGCCGCCCACCCGAUACUGCUGUGACUUGAGUUCGGUAGGGGAGCGGGGAAUUCCUGGUGUAGCGGUGAAAUGCGCAGAUAUCAGGAGGAACACCAGUGGCGAAGGCGGCUCUCUGGAACGGUACUGACGCUGAGACGCGAAAAGCGUGGGGAGCGAACAGG